UACAGAGGGUGCAAGCGUUAAUCGGAAUUGCUGGGCGUAAAGCGUGCGUAGACGGUUAUUUAAGUCAGGUGUGAAAGCCCCGGGCUCAACCUGGGAAUUGCAUUUGAGACUGAAUAGCUAGGGUGCGGAAGAGGGAAGCGGAAUUUCCGGUGUAGCGGUGAAAUGCGUAGAUAUCGGAAGGAACACCAGUGGCGAAAGCGGCUUCCUGGUCCAGCACCGACGUUCAGGCACGAAAGCGUGGGGAGCAAACAGG
rnacentral:rRNA from 1 species